AACUCGCCUGCACGAAGCUGGAAUCGCUAGUAAUCGCGGAUCAGCACGCCGCGGUGAAUACGUUCCCGGGCCUUGUACACACCGCCCGUCACACCAUGGAAGUCUGCAAUGCCCAAAGUCGGUGGGAUAACCUUUAUAGGAGUCAGCCGCCUAAGGCAGGGCAGAUGACUGGGGUGAAGUCGUAACAAGGUAGCCGUAGGAGAACCUGCGGCUGGAUCACCUCCUUUCUAAGGAA
rnacentral:rRNA from 1 species